CUUCUCUGAAUUACUUUUCACUUCCUACUUCUCUCAGAUCGGCCUCUUUUCAUACCUCCAAAUCUUCAUUAAGAAACCGCAAUUUUGAAUUCAACGGCAUUGAUGAUGCUGUUGAUUGCUUUAAUCGGAUGGUUUACAUGCACCCUCCAUCUUCUACGUUCGAAUUUAAUCGAUUGUUUGGUUCUAUAGUGAAAAUGAAUCACUAUUCGGCGGUGAUUUCACUGGCUAAAUCUAUGGAGCUGUUUGGUAUCAGGCACAAUAUCUAUACUUAUAAUAUAUUUGUCUUUGUUGUUUGAGGCGUGUGGAUUUUGGGUUUUCUCUUCUGGGGAAAAUCCUGAAACUUGGUCUCCAACCUAAUACUGUAACAUUUACCACCAUCAUCAAGGGGUUGUGCGUUGAGGGUAAAGUUGCACAUGCUGUGAGAUUUUUUGAUGAGAUGGUGGAUAAUGGUUAUCAACCAGAUGUAGUUACUUACACCACAAUGAUAAAUCCUUUCUGUAAAAUAGGUUAUAAGUUCACUUACUCAACGAAAUGGAAAAAAGAGGUUGUAAACCAAAUGUGGUAGCAUAUAGUGCAGUCAUUGACAGCCUAUGCAAGGACAUGCAAUUUGACAACGCUUUCAAUCUGUAUUUGGAAAUGAUGGAUCAAGGUGUUACACAGGAUGUUGUCACUUAUAACUCUUUAAUUCAAGGUGCAUGCAAUUCAGACCAACGGAACAAGACUACUAGAUUAUGGAAUGAAAUGAUUGCAAGGAAGAUCACACCAAAUGUCAUCACUUAUAGUAUUAUCGUUGAUAAGCUAUGUAAAGAAGGGAAGAUUUUAGAGGCUGAAUGUGUACUUGAGAAGAUGAUUGAGGUCGGGAUGGACCCAAAUGUGGUCACUUAUAAUGCAUUGAUGGACGGAUAUUGUCUAGUAGGCCGAAUUGAUAAGGCAUUGAAUGUGUUUGAUACGAUUGCUGAAAGGGGUUUUGGACUUGAUGUUAUUAGUUAUAGUAUAUUAAUCAAUGGAUGUUGUAAGAGUAAACGUAUAGAAAAGGCAAUGGGACUUUUUAGUGAUAUGAAUUCCAUAGGAUUGUGUGCUGACACUAUUACAUACAAUACCCUUAUAAGUGGAUUGUGCAAGGUAGGCAGUGUUCAAGAGGCAAAAAAUCUUCUUAAGGAGAUGUGUGCACGCAGUCAUACUCCAAACUUGAUGAUUUACUCGACUCUAUUGGAUGGUUUAUGCAAGCACGGGUAUGUUGAUGAGGCAUUGGUUUUAUUUAAAGCAAUGGAAGAAAGUGGGUUGGAACUUAAUAUUAUAACUUAUAACACCAUCAUUGAUGGUUUAAGUAUGGGCGGGAAGCUUAAUAUUGCGAGGAAUUUUUUUAUAGCUUGCGUAUCAAAGGCCUAGAUCCGGAUAUAAAGACGUACAAUAUCUUGAUCAAUGGCAUCUAUAAAGAAGGGCACUCGAGGGAAGCAUAUGAACUCAUCAGGAAAAUGGAAGGUACUAAUUGCCCUCCAAAUGGUGGUACUUACAAUACAAUCAUUCGAGGAUUAUUGCGAGACAACAAUGCUUUUUUGGCAAUGCAGCUUCUUCGGGAAAUGGUUGAUAGGGGUUCUCUGGAGAUGCAUCUACUGCGGAGAUGGUAAUGGAUUUGUUAUUUAACGAUACAUAUGACAAAUCAGUUUCCAACGAACUUCAUACGCUACUGUUAACUUGAUCUUUGAUUCAUGGAUGAGACCUAUUGUUCUCAAGUGGGUGGUCUGGUAAAUGUUGAAAGCUUGUUUAGUUAUUGCUCUUCCUUUAUGUCUAUUUAGCUUCCUUGGAUCUCAACAUCUCUUCAUUUCUUUUUGAAUGAAUUGUUUUGUUUACAAAUAACAAAUCAAUAUUGUGAUCAAACAGUACUAGGAACUGCUACUAUUUGUAACAAUUUUCUAACUUAUGUCACUUCAUUUCCCUUUUCACUAAAAAUUUAUAGAAUUCUUUCAAUGUUAAUUUUUUUUUUGAAGUUGGUGACUUAUGUCCUCAUAUCACAGCGUCUUUGUCCGUCCCCUUUAAAUCCUUGUCAUGUUAGGAGGCAAUGUGACGUGUGUUUGUUUUUCACUAUUCAUUCUUAGAUUGAUUUCUUUUUUUAAAGAACUUUUCAAAGUAGAGGAGUCCUAUAAAAGAGUUCCGUGCAUGGUGAAAGCUCGAGUAUUGUCUUUCCUUUUAUUGGUGUGUGCGAGUAUACCUUUUUGGUAUCAGGGUAAAUUGUAAUCAUAUCCACUUCAAGCAACCAAGGAGUACAAUCUUUCCAAGUUGGAUUAUGCUCAUGGAAGUUAAUAAAUCUAUGAACCUGAAGCUUUUUAUAAAAGUUCAUGAUAGCAGGCUUGCCUUGGUGAUCUCUAAUACUAUUGGUCUUAGUUUCUUACAUGGGCUUUGAAGUGGUUAGAGCUAUAGCUUUUAUGCUUUUGUUAUGUGGGUAGUUGUCAACGGGGCUUUCUUGGGAUGUUAUGACUUUCAGAAUUUUUUUCUUUUUCUUUUAGUGCGAGCAUGCUCAAAAUAAUUAUAUGGCUGUGUAGCAUUUUGGCCUGCUGAAUCACAUUCUUGGUUUUUUGCUCCUUCAAAUCCUCGGUUAUGUUUGGAGGCAAUGCGUUUUGAGUUUGUUUUUCAUGUGUGUUUAAUGACAAGGGUUUAACUAAUAAAUGACAGUGGGAUAAAAACUUAUUAAAAGUGAUUUUUUUUGCUUCUUCAAACUAGUAACUACUGGACUCCUUUAAGACAUUUCCAUACAUGGUGGAAAAUUCGAGUAAUGUUUCUUUUAUUAUUGGUUCGCGUGAGUAUACCUUUUCCUUCCUCUUCAUUGUGUCAUUUCCGAGAUAUGCAUCAUGCACACCAAACUUUUGAGUGCAUGCGGGCGAGAACAGUAGAGCCAAACUCUCAUAUUCACACAAAGUAAUUUUCUGAUAAAGUUUGCUAGUACUUGAGUUAUUGAUGUUCUUUAUGUGGAUUAUCUUAAUGUUCUAGGCUGGAGUUACUUGUUGUCAAAGAUGUGAUAGAGAUAUAUUAUGCAAGUAAUUUGUUUUGGGUGCAGUUUAUGGUCUAUAUUAGUUUUGCUUUUAAAAUAUUUUUUGGUGACUUGGAGAAAUUUGAGCUGAACAAAAGUAUGUUAUCACUUGACUAUGGAAAGUAUAUAGCCAUUAAUGGUUAUCUUUUGUUAAAUGUUUUAAAUUCACUAUUUUAUCAUCUGUCCAUUAGAAUAGAAAUGACUGACAAAAUGUUUCUUCAAAAAGCAUAAGCAGAUAUUAUGUGGUAGAGUUGUAGGUGUAAAACCUAGAGGUCAUAGGUUCAAUUUUUGGAAACAACCUCUCCACGUAUUAUGUGGGGUUAAAGUCUCCACACAUCCUAAAUGUCUCCUACCUUGCCCACCGCAGGAGUCUUGUGCAUAGGAGUUGUUUACUUUUUUUCUAAAAAAAACUUUUGAAUCACCCUAAUUGAUAAUAGGAUCACCGGGUUGAUGGCUUAUUGGUAUAAUCGUAGCAUUUUCUUUGACAUGAAACUUUGAAUUUAGGGCUCCUUGCAUCCUCUCUGAUUUAUCUAUUGAGUGUGCAUGCUUCUUUUCCAAUUUUCACUGUUCCGCGAUAGCAAAUUGUAGUUUUCUUCAGGAAGCAAUUGUUUUGAGGAGGGUCAAUGCAUUGAACAUACAAUACCUAAAAAUUUUGGACCAAGUUUGUAGGCUCUUACACUUCCUCAUUUUGUAAUAUCUGGAAUGUGGCUGAAUACUCUAGGCUUUUUGAAUUUCAGUUACUUUAAUACUGAUAUCGUUUCCAUCAUAGAAGCUAUGGAGUUAUACUGAUUGUUGCGUGCAUUAAAUGCUCAGACCCAUCUUGGCGACUUUCAACAUUAACUUUUUUUCCUUCCCCGAAAAAAAAAACGUGAUUUAGGCUGUCUGCAUUCACUAUACUUGAGUUCCAUCACAUGAAUUGGCAUAAAACUCAAUGUGCGUGGUUCAUAUUUGAUACAAUAAAUGGACGUUUAUCCUUUUCUGCGUGUGAUGAUGAAUUGUGACAGCCUUUGUACAUCGUGGAAUUUGCUUCCACUUGUUUAUUUGUUCUGGUUAUGACUGUUACUUGUAGUUUCUUUCUAGCGUUAUUCAGUUGGAUUCUUGUUAUAACUCUACAGGCUUUUUCAAAUUUAAAAUUUGCUGGCGCUUUUCUGUAGCUUUCUGGCCCUUUUUUCUUAUGGUUUUCGAAAUUUACAGUUCCAGUAGGAAUUUGACUGAAUUAAAAUACUGUGUUGUUUUGAUUUAAUAAAUGCAGAUUUUGUUCCAGAACUUUCAGCUUUAAUGUCUUAUUUGGUGAAAAGCAGUUGAGUUAAAUAUUUGAACUCUAGCUUGAUAUAGGUUGGAGCAAAAAACCUCGAGGAGAGCAAAAGGAGAUGUCUUGCAGAACAGAGAUCCAUUGUGGAUGGGCAAAGAACCAAUUUAGACUUCAUACUUGCACCUCCAGCACCAGUGGUGCGCUGUCAAGAUAAGUCGCCAAAUCUAUACGCUGCUUCAUGGCCAUCAUGUCAACAGUCACCUGUUUCUUUGGGCAAAACAAGAUUUGAGGCUUCUGACUGCAUUGGCAGACAUGGUGUCCCUCCAUUUAUCUUGAUGGGUUGUAACCAAUGCUUUCUUUAUGUGAUGGUAUCUGAAAUUGAACCAAAAUGCCCAAACUGCCAGAGCUACUUGGUCGACUGUUUCCGUGGGAACGAUGCUCAGGGAUCAAGGAUGUAGUCUUCGAGAGAACGUUACCCAUCCUAUUGUUUGUUUGGUAUGUUCAAUUAUCUUUCCAAAACUUGGUUAUCAAUGCUAGCAUGUCCUAAUAUUUAUUCUUCUUGUGAUCAGUAUUUACCUUAUUUCAUCUCCCUGUCUCUUGUGCUUGUUUGUCCUAGAGCUGUAGUCUUUAUAUGAGAUUCAGCUAAAUGAUUCAAGGAUCAAGCAAGGGUGAGAUAUCUUUGUUUUCCUUUGAACUUGAAAAUUGUACGAGUUUGCUGUGGUUCA